rnacentral:rRNA from 1 species
UUAAGCGACUAAGCGUACACGGUGGAUGCCCUGGCAGUCAGAGGCGAUGAAGGACGUGCUAAUCUGCGAUAAGCGUCGGUAAGGUGAUAUGAACCGUUAUAACCGGCGAUUUCCGAAUGGGGAAACCCAGUGUGUUUCGACACACUAUCAUUAACUGAAUCCAUAGGUUAAUGAGGCGAACCGGGGGAACUGAAACAUCUAAGUACCCCGAGGAAAAGAAAUCAACCGAGAUUCCCCCAGUAGCGGCGAGCGAACGGGGAGCAGCCCAGAGCCUGAAUCAGUGUGUGUGUUAGUGGAAGCGUCUGGAAAGGCGCGCGAUACAGGGUGACAGCCCCGUACACAAAAAUGCACAUGCUGUGAGCUCGAUGAGUAGGGCGGGACACGUGGUAUCCUGUCUGAAUAUGGGGGGACCAUCCUCCAAGGCUAAAUACUCCUGACUGACCGAUAGUGAACCAGUACCGUGAGGGAAAGGCGAAAAGAACCCCGGCGAGGGGAGUGAAAAAGAACCUGAAACCGUGUACGUACAAGCAGUGGGAGCACAGAGCAAUCUGUGUGACUGCGUACCUUUUGUAUAAUGGGUCAGCGACUUAUAUUCUGUAGCAAGGUUAACCGAAUAGGGGAGCCGAAGGGAAACCGAGUCUUAACUGGGCGUUAAGUUGCAGGGUAUAGACCCGAAACCCGGUGAUCUAGCCAUGGGCAGGUUGAAGGUUGGGUAACACUAACUGGAGGACCGAACCGACUAAUGUUGAAAAAUUAGCGGAUGACUUGUGGCUGGGGGUGAAAGGCCAAUCAAACCGGGAGAUAGCUGGUUCUCCCCGAAAGCUAUUUAGGUAGCGCCUCGUGAAUUCAUCUCCGGGGGUAGAGCACUGUUUCGGCAAGGGGGUCAUCCCGACUUACCAACCCGAUGCAAACUGCGAAUACCGGAGAAUGUUAUCACGGGAGACACACGGCGGGUGCUAACGUCCGUCGUGAAGAGGGAAACAACCCAGACCGCCAGCUAAGGUCCCAAAGUCAUGGUUAAGUGGGAAACGAUGUGGGAAGGCCCAGACAGCCAGGAUGUUGGCUUAGAAGCAGCCAUCAUUUAAAGAAAGCGUAAUAGCUCACUGGUCGAGUCGGCCUGCGCGGAAGAUGUAACGGGGCUAAACCAUGCACCGAAGCUGCGGCAGCGACGCUUAUGCGUUGUUGGGUAGGGGAGCGUUCUGUAAGCCUGCGAAGGUGUGCUGUGAGGCAUGCUGGAGGUAUCAGAAGUGCGAAUGCUGACAUAAGUAACGAUAAAGCGGGUGAAAAGCCCGCUCGCCGGAAGACCAAGGGUUCCUGUCCAACGUUAAUCGGGGCAGGGUGAGUCGACCCCUAAGGCGAGGCCGAAAGGCGUAGUCGAUGGGAAACAGGUUAAUAUUCCUGUACUUGGUGUUACUGCGAAGGGGGGACGGAGAAGGCUAUGUUGGCCGGGCGACGGUUGUCCCGGUUUAAGCGUGUAGGCUGGUUUUCCAGGCAAAUCCGGAAAAUCAAGGCUGAGGCGUGAUGACGAGGCACUACGGUGCUGAAGCAACAAAUGCCCUGCUUCCAGGAAAAGCCUCUAAGCAUCAGGUAACAUCAAAUCGUACCCCAAACCGACACAGGUGGUCAGGUAGAGAAUACCAAGGCGCUUGAGAGAACUCGGGUGAAGGAACUAGGCAAAAUGGUGCCGUAACUUCGGGAGAAGGCACGCUGAUAUGUAGGUGAGGUCCCUCGCGGAUGGAGCUGAAAUCAGUCGAAGAUACCAGCUGGCUGCAACUGUUUAUUAAAAACACAGCACUGUGCAAACACGAAAGUGGACGUAUACGGUGUGACGCCUGCCCGGUGCCGGAAGGUUAAUUGAUGGGGUUAGCGGUAACGCGAAGCUCUUGAUCGAAGCCCCGGUAAACGGCGGCCGUAACUAUAACGGUCCUAAGGUAGCGAAAUUCCUUGUCGGGUAAGUUCCGACCUGCACGAAUGGCGUAAUGAUGGCCAGGCUGUCUCCACCCGAGACUCAGUGAAAUUGAACUCGCUGUGAAGAUGCAGUGUACCCGCGGCAAGACGGAAAGACCCCGUGAACCUUUACUAUAGCUUGACACUGAACAUUGAGCCUUGAUGUGUAG